rnacentral:rRNA from 1 species
UCAAUAAGCGGAGGAAAAGAAACCAACAGGGAUUGCCCUAGUAACGGCGAGUGAAGCGGCAACAGCUCAAAUUUGAAAUCUGGCGCAAGCCCGAGUUGUAAUUUGUAGAGGAUGUUUCUGGCGACGUGCCUUCCGAGUUCCCUGGAACGGGACGCCAUAGAGGGUGAGAGCCCCGUACGGUUGGUUGCCUAGCCUCUGUGAAACUCCUUCGACGAGUCGAGUAGUUUGGGAAUGCUGCUCUAAAUGGGAGGUAUACGUCUUCUAAAGCUAAAUACCGGCCAGAGACCGAUAGCGCACAAGUAGAGUGAUCGAAAGAUGAAAAGCACUUUGAAAAGAGGGUUAAAUAGUACGUGAAAUUGUUGAAAGGGAAGCGUUUAUGACCAGACUUGGGCAGGUUGAUCAUCCGUGGUUCUCCGCGGUGCACUCUGCCUGCUCAGGCCAGCAUCAGUUUUGCUCGGGGGAUAAAGGCUUCGGGAAUGUAGCUCCCUCGGGAGUGUUAUAGACCGUUGCGUAAUACCCUGAGCGGGACUGAGGUUCGCGCUCUGCAAGGAUGCUGGCGUAAUGGUCAUCAGCGACCCGUCUUGAAACACGGACCAAGGAGUCGUCUUCGUAUGCGAGUGUUCGGGUGUCAAACCCCUACGCGUAAUGAAAGUGAACGUAGGAGAGAGCUUCGGCGCAUCUCCGACCGAUCCUGAUGUUCUCGGAUGGAUUUGAGUAAGAGCAUACGGGGCCGGACCCGAAAGAAGGUGAACUAUGCCUGUAUAGGGUGAAGCCAGAGGAAACUCUGGUGGAGGCUCGCAGCGGUUCUGACGUGCAAAUCGAUCGUCAAAUAUGGGCAUGGGGGCGAAAGACUAAUCGAACCUUCUAGUAGCUGGUU